rnacentral:tRNA from 1 species
UUAAUUGAAACCAAAAUUUAGAGGUAUAUCAUUGUUAAUGAUAAAAUUGAAAAAAUUCCAAUUAAA